rnacentral:rRNA from 1 species
CGGGUAGCGGAACACGUACACAACCUUCCUUUAGGUGGGGGAUAGCCCAGAGAAAUUUGGAUUAAUACCCCGUAGUAUUGCCAGGUGGCAUCACUUGGCAAUUAAAGAUUUAUUGCCUGAAGAUGGGUGUGCGUCUGAUUAGGUAGUUGGUGUGGGUAAAGGCCCACCAAGCCUACGAUCAGUAACUGGUGUGAGAGCACGACCAGUCACACGGGCACUGAGACACGGGCCCG